AUUGAACGCUGGCGGCAGGCUUAACACAUGCAAGUCGAGCGGAGAUGAGGUGCUUGCACCUUAUCUUAGCGGCGGACGGGUGAGUAAUGCUUAGGAAUCUGCCUAUUAGUGGGGGACAACAUUCCGAAAGGAAUGCUAAUACCGCAUACGUCCUACGGGAGAAAGCAGGGGAUCUUCGGACCUAGCGCUAAUAGAUGAGCCUAAGUCGGGUUAGCUAGUUGGUGGGGUAAAGGCCUACCAAGGCGACGAUCUGUAGCGGGUCUGAGAGGAUGAUCCGCCACACUGGGACUGAGACACGGCCCAGACUCCUACGGGAGGCAGCAGUGGGGAAUAUUGGACAAUGGGGGGAACCCCGAUCCAGCCAUGCCGCGUGUGUGAAGAAGGCCUUAUGGUUGUAAAGCACUUUAAGCGAGGAGGAGGCUACUGAGACUAAUACUCUUGGAUAGUGGACGUUACUCGCAGAAUAAGCACCGGCUAACUCUGUGCCAGCCGCCGCCGUAAGAC
rnacentral:rRNA from 1 species